UACGGGGGGAGCAAGCGUUGUUCGGAUUUACUGGGCGUAAAGGGCGCGUAGGCGGUCGUGACAAGUCACUUGUGAAAUCUCCGGGCUUAACUCGGAACGGUCAAGUGAUACUGUCGGACUAGAGUACAGAAGGGGCAACUGGAAUUCUCGGGUGUAGCGGUGAAAUGCGUAGAUAUCGAGAGGAACACCUGCGGCGAAGGCGGGUUGCUGGGCCACUACUGACGCUGAGAAGCGAAAGCAUGGGGAGCGAACAGG
rnacentral:rRNA from 1 species